rnacentral:rRNA from 1 species
GACGAACGCUGGCGGCGUGCUUAACACAUGCAAGUCGAACGGUGAACCUGCUUCGGUGGGGGAUCAGUGGCGAACGGGUGAGUAACACGUGGGCAACCUGCCCUCAGCUCUGGGAUAACUCCAAGAAAUUGGGGCUAAUACUGGAUAUGACCGCUGACCGCAUGGUCUGGUGGUGGAAAGAUUUAUCGGCUGGGGAUGGGCCCGCGGCCUAUCAGCUUGUUGGUGGGGUAGUGGCCUACCAAGGCGA